GAGGAUAUGGUGAAAAGGUAAACACGUUUGAUUUAGGGUCAGAUUUUUGUAGGUUCGAUUCCUAUUAUCUUUG
rnacentral:tRNA from 1 species